CAAAAGCUUGGUCCUGACUUUUCUAUCAAUUCUAGCUAAACUUACACAUGCAAGUAUCUGCACCCCUGUGAAAAUGCCCAACAGUCCCCCGCCCGGGAACAAGGAGCCGGUAUCAGGCACAACAUCAGCUUGGCCCAUGACACCUUGCUUAGCCACACCCCCACGGGUACUCAGCAGUGAUAAAUAUUAAGCAAUAAGUGAAAACUUGACUUAGUUAAAGCUAAGAGGGCCGGUAAAACUCGUGCCAGCUACCGCGGUUAUACGAGGGGCCCAAGUUGAUAGACAACGGCGUAAAGGGUGGUUAAAAUAAUUCUUAAACUAGGGCUAAAUUUUUUCAAGGCUGUUAUACGCACCCGAGAACAAGAAGCUCAACUACGAAAGUGGCCCUAUAUAUUUGAACCCACGAAAGCUAGGGCACAAACUGGGAUUAGAUACCCCACUAUGCCUAGCCGUAAACAUUGGUAGCACAAUACACACGCUGCCCGCCCGGGUACUACGAGCGUCAGCUUAAAACCCAAAGGACUUGGCGGUGCUUAAGAUCCCCCUAGAGGAGCCUGUUCUAGAACCGAUAAUCCCCGUUCAACCUCACCCUCCCUUGUUCUUUUCAGCCUAUAUACCGCCGUCGUCAGCUUACCCUGUGAAGGGUUAACAGUAAGCAAAAUUGGCAUUGCCCAAAACGUCAGGUCGAGGUGUAGCGUAUGAGAGGGGAAGAAAUGGGCUACAUUCCCUGAAACAGGGCAUACGGAUAGUAAAAUGAAAAUGUUACUUGAAGGUGGAUUUAGUAGUAAGUAGAGAGUAGAGAGCUUUACUGAAAUUGGCCCUAAAGCGCGUACACACCGCCCGUCACUCUCCCCAAGCUACAAAACUUAAAUUAAAUAAAAAACAUAAAAUGCAAAGGGGAGGCAAGUCGUAACAUGGUAAGGGUACCGGAAGGUGCCCUUGGAAUAAC
rnacentral:ncRNA from 1 species